AAAUAUUAGUGCUAAAUGCUUGUGACAACAAUGCUUGUCAGAAUGGAGCUGCCUGUGUCCAGGUUUCUGGUUCCUGUACAGCAUACACAUGUACCUGUCCAUCUUGCUACACUGGACAAUUCUGUGAAACUUUAUUGAAUGCUUGUUCCAACCACGCUUGUCAAAACGGAGGUGCCUGUGUCCAAGUUGCUGGUUCCUGUACAGCAUACACAUGUACCUGUCCAUCAUGCUACACUGGACAAUUCUGUGAAACAUUAUUGAAUGCUUGUAACAACAAUGCUUGUCAGAAUGGAGCUGCUUGUGUCCAGGUUUCUGGUUCCUGUACAGCAUACACAUGUACCUGUCCAUCAUGCUACACUGGACAAUUCUGUGAAACUUUAUUGAAUGCUUGUUCCAACCACGCUUGUCAAAAUGGAGGUGCCUGUGUCCAAGUUGCUGGUUCUUGUACAGCAUACACAUGUACCUGUCCAUCAUGCUACACUGGACAAUUCUG